GCGUAAAAGCAAAAUAAAUUCCUAUAUAUAGUAGUACAGAUAACUGGAGUAUGAAAUUUAAUUUACAGUAACAAGUGGGACCCCUGAAUAUUCAAAAGUAAAGAGGACUGUGAACCUACAGUUUGGAAAAUGCAAUUCCAAUGGUAGUCCUCGAUGCAAUCAGCUAUCUACAGUCUAUUCUGAGCCUGAAAUUGAUUGAAAGGAGGGUGGUGAGAUUAUAAAAUCUUAGUGAGUAAACAAAUACCAUCUAAAAUCUCUAAAGUCGAGUAAAUGGAGACAGAUAAAAUAAAUCAUCAUACUUUAAUUUAUCAUCUUUCAACUCAUUUCAACCAAAUAAAAUGCAAUUCAUUUAAAUCGAGUAAUCAACAUGGCCUAUGAAUUUCUUAAAACUUGGCUCAAGUCAAAAAUUAUUCUCAUACUCAGUUAUAAGGGAUACCUUGGCUGAGGGCUAUCCCAAAUCGAGUCCGCCAAGGUUAUUAAAAAGUUAUAUACUCAUAAAUCAUGUUUUUAUUUAGAAAAUAUAACCGUUCCUUGGCGUUGGUCGAGUUCCCCCUCACGUGGUGGUUUGGCGUGAAGUGAACUCUAAAAGUUAUACCUCGAGAGUUACCCUACUCGCCUCUCCAACCGAGGUAAAAUAUGUAAGGAUUCCGUGCCCCUCUAAUAGGCUAGUCCAUAGAACCCAGCCCACUGCAGCAAGCAAUACCCACUAUACAAUAAAAUUUUGACAACAUGACAGGUUAAUUUUAUACUACCCAGCCUGCAAAUGUAAAAUAGAACAAUUCAUACAGUUCACAAAAACCACAACCCAUCCAGCCAUGCCAACACAUUAACAUAAACCAUUUAUUCAAAUCAUAAAUUUACAACAUAUCAGUGGUCUCCAAUUACUCUAUUUUUCAAAAUCAUUAUUUAAUUUCAAGACAAUUUAUAAAAUCAUUUCGUUUAAACACAUUUUGUUUAUAAAACAUAAAGAUUUGCCAUUUAAACUCAUUUUGCAUAAAAUCAUAAAAUCGGAUAAAAACCACUUUAGAUAAUUAAGACAAUAGUAAGGUUACUCACUAUUUCAGGAGUCGAAUUUCUAUAGUACUUCGACUAUCGAUCAUCGGGUACAAUUUUCUUGCCCUUGUCGGAGGACUCACCACCUUGACACAGUACAAAAUCGAGAAACUUAUUACAUUGGUACUAAAUCAAAAUUAAACUAAUUUAGACUAAUGCAUGAUAUGGAAUGCAAAAUGUCCGAUUAAUCGCUUAAAUGUGAUAUUCGACCUAAGUCACACUAUACUUGGUCUAAUCGGCUAAAAUCUCAAAUUUAACUCCAAAUCAAUUCUUCUCACUUUCUACACUCCAAUUAUACCUAAAUUACCUCAGCGACUGUGAAUGAGAUUCAAUUUAUCAGUCUCGGGUCAAUAAUCACACAUGUCUAUAUGUUAAGCAAAAAUUCAGAUUUUCACACAAAAAUUUCCCAUUUAAUUUAUAACCUCACCAAACAUCAAAUAUCACCAAAAUAUUAUGAAAUAUCAUCAAUUUCAGCCUCAAUAUUCUCCCUAGAAAAUUCGGCCUCUUAUGGGUAAUGGGAGAAAAUGAAUUUUUCUUGUUGGCUUUUCUUGCUACGCAUCACUAACUAACUAAAAACACUAACGUAACUUGAAAUCAAAUCAAUCCAACAUCAUUCUCUCUCCAUACCCAUUCGGCCAGUCAUGAAUUCACCAUGAAAACAUGAAAUUUAACCAUGCAAAAUAAGGAGAAAUGCAUGAGAAAGGUAGAUCACAAGUCAAAAUCAAGAAAUUUUACCUUUGAUUGCUUGAUUACUUGAAAUCCACCAAUUUUCCCUUGAAUUUUCCCACCUAGGGUUCUUGUUCUUUUUUUCUUCCUUUGUUCUUCCUUUUGUUUUCCUUUGGCCGGCCAUAUGAAGAAUAUGGGUUGAUUUUGUGCUAAAUUUAAAGUUAAAUAAUAAAUGGUUAUAAACUUGACACAUGUCACCUUGUUAUUGGUCCAUGUGUCAUUUCUUAACAUUAAACUUUCUCUCUCCACCAUAUAAAUUCUUUCAAUUAUCUAUGAUAAUAUUGGAUAAAAUCCAUGUGCUAGACAAGUGUCGGGUGGUGUAAAAUUACAAUUUUGCCACUAAGGUGGUAAAAUUACCAUUUUACCCCUAUGUUCUGAAAAAUACCUGGAUUACAAUUUUUCACUUCUCAACUUCAAAUCAUACUACAAUAAGUCAAAUGUGAUCAAAAUCUUUCAAAAAAAUUCUCAUUUUGUCAUCGAGUGACAAAAUUACCAUUUUGCCCCUAUAUAGUGAAAUUUUCGAUUUGACUCCAAAUCACCAUUUUAAAUCAUUCAUGAACUAUAAAAUUUUCAAUUUCACCCUAUAAUCUCUAUUUGAUCUAGUUCGAGGCUUAAAUCAACUUUGUUGUACCUCUAGGUACAAUACCGACUUUUAUAAAUUUUUGGGGACUCUCCUAGUAUGCAAACAUGCUAUCUAUCACAUGUAUGUCUUGUCUUGUAUUUUAUAAGGUCGGGCUUUACACACCUGCUGGGAUUCGACCUAAUGCUCUAAUAUAAAAAUAAUCAAGAAAUUAAAAAUAUAAUAAUAAACUAGCAUGUAAUCAAAGAAAUAGCCGAAUCCUAUAGGAUCAAUGUUUAUGUUUUUCAUGUAAUUUUCAAAUUAAUUAAGAACUUUCAUAAGUUUAAGAGUUACAUACCUUACUCUGGAUAUUGUAAUCAAAAGCCAAUUAAAUCCAAAUCUUUGCUUGUUCACCUUUAGAAUUUGUCAAAUCUUCAACCACCCAAGUGUUUAGCUUUUAAUAGUAAUCCACACAGUGACCGAAUAAGACUUUCUUAAAGGUAGGAUUUUACUUAAUUUAGCAAGUUUUGUUUCUAAAACAAAAAAGAUUAAAAAUUUUUGCCGAAUCUUAUUUUUGUAAGACAAAGAAAACUAUUUUUCUUUUCUUAUUUUAUGAAGCGGCUGAGAAGUGGUUGGAGGCUUAGAGUUUUAGUUUGCUAACAUAACAUAUUUAUAUAGUCAAACUAAGUUGCAACCUUAGAUACAACAAUUGUAUUUUAAUUCAAUUAUAUCUUUGUAAACUUAAUUAAUUUUUGCACUUUAUUUUGGUCUAUUUCAAUUAAGUCAAACUUAAUUAAUUAUCUUUAUUUAAUCUCAAUCAUGUCACUUAAUGUGUGUGACCCAUUAGGCUUCCAACAUAUUGACAAUAAAUAUAACCCUAAUCAAAUAUCAAUUUGAUAAUUGAUUUAUAUUUAUAUAUCAUAAGCGGCAUCUAGCAAUACGUCAUAACCAUUGAAAUAUUAGAGAGUCAAUUAAAAAAUUUGACAAAGCCCUUCAGUGAUAAGCCUUUCAGUGCAAUAUGAUCCUUUCAUCAAAUAUCCCAGAUAUGUCAUAAAGCAUGACUCAAUGUCUACUUAUAACAUUUCAUAUUAAUUUUCAUAAUUCAUGACUAACCGAAUGAAUUUAGGAAACUAACUUUCCUCAAAUUCAUCAUGCUUUGGCCAAAGACAUUAUACAAGUUAAUCAAGAAUCGAGAACAAGUAAGAUACAUUGCUUCAUAUCACUUGGGGUGAUGAAUCCUCUUUUAACCACUCAUUCACCUUCACAUGGUUUAUGACAUACCCAAAAACACCCUGUUUAGGCAUCUGGUUGCCUCUAGACCCGUAAAAGUGAAAUCAAAGUAUGUCAUUCUCCAUACAAGAUGACCUAGUAUCUCAAGUCUGAGACUAGUUGCACGACUAUCACAUGAGAACAUAUUCUAUAGAUACUUGAGUGAAAUAUCAAAUGGAGUUCUCAUAGCAAGUCAUGUUCAGUGAACUUGUUCUUUAACAUCCCACAUGUUAUCCUCAGGUAUCUCAUAUACUUCAAGCUAUGAGAUUGAUUGCUUACUUCCCAAGUAAAGAGGCUUAACAUGUACUAGUCUUUGAGCAUUAUCAAUACCUUAUCUUGACAAUACAAUGACCAGGAGCUAUUUUAGGAACAUGGUUUUGAUGCACAGUGAUUUCAUAAUUGUAACAACUUUACAAUUCUCUUGCAAGGCCUUUAUGUUCCAUGGGCUUCAUCCAAUUAGUACUUAAUAACUCCUUAUUAUAGCACUAACAUGAAGAAAAACCUUUAUCACAAAUAGUUAUACGAUUAAAUAUGCAUUAAAUGAUAAUAUAUAUUCUUUGACCAAUCUAAUUGGCUCAAGGGAAAAUACCAACACCAAGGCAAAUAUAUGUAUAUAAAUACACAAGAAUAAUAUUUUCCAAUAAGCAUGCCCUACUCACCUUGGUUUGGUGUGAUUUUCAUUUCACCAAUUCCAUUUCUCUAACAAUUUCAUCAAUCUAUUGUUGCAUGCAUGGUUUC
rnacentral:lncRNA from 1 species